UACGGAGGGUGCAAGCGUUAUCCGGAUUCACUGGGUUUAAAGGGUGCGUAGGCGGGCAGGUAAGUCAGUGGUGAAAUCCCCGAGCUUAACUUGGGAACUGCCGUUGAUACUAUCUGUCUUGAAUACCGUGGAGAUGAGCGGAAUAUGUCAUGUAGCGGUGAAAUGCUUAGAUAUGACAUAGAACACCAAUUGCGAAGGCAGCUCGUUACACGAAUAUUGACUCUGAGGCACGAAAGCGUGGGGAUCAAACAGG
rnacentral:rRNA from 1 species